ACAUGCUGAGAAGUUGGCGAAGUGCAGCGACUUGCGAGUGGAGAUAAGCCGCAUGUGGCAUUGUCGAACACUGGUGGUUGCGGUGGUCUUGUGAGCUUUGGGCACAGUGCACGCAGGUAUUGCACGGUGGCUGGACAUUAUUCCAGGUCAUCACAACCUGCAGCACUUACAGAAAACAGUGCUUCUGGGAUCUACUCGGAUCCUUCGUAAAGUCAUGUCUUCUUUCUAGACAGCCGUGAUGGUCUAAGUACUUCUGAAGCAGGGUUUGCUUCCGGUACUUGUAAUAGACUUUACAAAGCAGACUGAUCUGGUUGAGCACGACACAUAGUAGUGGUUAGCGACAAUGACUACCACGCCAUGGUUUGGGGGUUCAAACCCCAGUGACGACAGUAAAUUGUGAAACUUGUCUCUCUUUCUUUCUCAUGUUUCUCUAGCUUUAUCCAUGAGACUAUGACUCGUUUCAGUCGUUGGGGAGUUUCUGUGGUCUGGCGAACGGUCCGUUGACGAUGACGUUGAGUGCUUUCCUGGUGGUCGUUGAUAUCCACUAGGCGUGCUGUAUCGAGUACGCGGUCACCGUAAUGCCUGCAAUCUAUAUCGAAUUGGCUAGUCAUUGAUCGCCGUAUGGACUACACGGAAACAUGUACCCCGCUGGGCUCACCUGCCGGAUUGGUGGGCGCCCAGAUGGGGGUAAAGACCCCACUUGCCCAUUAUGGAAGGGCAUAACGACACAUAAUAGCGCAUCAUGGAGGAGUGGCAUAGCGACAGAUAGGCCACUAUAGCAUGGUUUGGAAAGGAAUGACUUGUGUAACAGAAGGAAAAGUGUGAGGAUGGGUUGAGUUGAGGAAUCACCAACUGAAGAAAGAACUCUGUUGCUCAUGUCAUGGCAUGUGCAAUGAAUUUAUGUCUAGAACAACACACGGUAGUUGCCCAUGGCGUGCUACAAUAUUCAUUAUGGUUUGCUACAGUGGGAGAAGAAAUAACCACCGCUGUUACAAGUACAAGAUGCAGAUCAUCUGUUACAAGCCAGAAAUUCGACUUGAUUCACUGUGUAUGAAGUUUCAGUUCAAACAUGACAGCGAAAAAUUACAUUAAACUUGCACUUUAGGUAGAUUGCACAUGAUUAUAUAUA